rnacentral:rRNA from 1 species
UACGUAGGUGGCGAGCGUUGUCCGGAUUUACUGGGCGUAAAGAGCGCGCAGGCGGUUGUGCAAGUCGCGUGUGAAAGCCCCCGGCUCAACUGGGGAGGGUCACGCGAUUACUGCUCGACUUGAAGGCAGGAGAGGGAAGUGGAAUUCCCGGUGUAGUGGUGAAAUGCGUAGAUAUCGGGAGGAACACCAGUGGCGAAGGCGACUUCCUGGCCUGUUCUUGACGCUGAGGCGCGAAAGCUAGGGUAGCAAACGGGG